rnacentral:pre_miRNA from 1 species
CAACAACAGCAGUUGAAGCUGCCAGCAUGAUCUGAGCUUACCUAGCUUUGCUUCUUCAAUUUCUGUAUGGCGGUGCCAAGGCAAUAACAGAUCAUGUCGGAGCUUCACCUGUUGACUCC